GAAAACAGAGAAAAGGCCUGUCCCGAACUGCUCGAAAAGAAAAGGUAAAACACAACUCCCUCCCGAUCCCAUCUCCUCCAGCGCGUUGAACCAUGCCCCGCCGCCGCGCCAUGACCCGCCGUCGCACCAUGCCCCGCCGCCGCGCGCCACCACCCCAUGACCCGCCGUCGCACCAUGCUCCGCCGCCGCGCACCGCCACCCCAUGACCCGCCGUCGCACCAUGCCCCGCUGCCGCGCACCGCCACCCCAUGACCCGCUGCCGCGCGCACAUCCACCCCCUGCCCCGCCGCCGUGCGCCACCACCCCCUGUCCCGCCGCCGCGCGCGCGCAGGAUUCUACCGGCCGGAGCAGAUGCGAGCCGGAUCCAGCCUCCCCCCGAGCUCCGUCUUCUUCCCCGCCUCCCUCCCGCGAACCGAACGCCUCCUUCUGGGUGGUCCGGCACCGCUGCGUCUAGCGGUCCAACCUCGCCGCCCGAGGCCGUUCACCGUCGCAGCGCCUCCUUCCGUCCGCGCCACGGGCUCCCGUGCACGGCCCUUGCCGAAGCUGGUGCGCACGUCCCUGCCCACCUUUUCUCCCUCUCUGUUCCUGCACUCCAUGAAUUCUUGUUGAGUGCUCGUUACGUGUUUGCUAAAAUGUCUAAGUGCACUUUACUACUAGUUUUGAUGUGUUCACUGUUUAUUUGUAGCUACCUUGUGCUUGCUAAAUGUUACAGCUUACAGUACUUGGAGAAUUUUUCGUGUGUGAUCUGUACUUUAGGUGCUAAUCCGAGAAUUCGUGUCCUCGAGGAGUUCAUGUAUUACUACCAUAGGAGUUCAAACACUACACCAAGAAAAAGUUCACCACACGUACAUUUUAGAAAAAGGAUACUUUGGAAAGUUUACUGGAAAUAAUACUUAACAAGAGCCGCAUGUUUGUUUUACUGCCUAAAGGGUGAUCUGCUGUGAAGUUAAGCGAGGCAAGGCUAGGACAAGUCCGACUGUUUUUGAGUGGGAAGUUCUGGGUUCUGACUUACAUUUGAUGUAGGUGAGGGGCAACUACCCAAAAUUUCUUGAAUGAUUGGUUGUUCCAUUUCUCAGUUGUACAAUGAUGAUUUUCCCAAAAAGUUCCCAAUUUUUUUGAUCAAUUUCUCAGUCGGUUUCGUAGAUCCAAGAGUAAAUGAAUGCAAUGCUAAUUAUUUCACUGGCAUAGAAAAAUGUAGUACGUGGUUCUUGCUGGAAUCUAGAUAGCUUUCUUUGUCCUCGUUAAAGAAAUAUAGCCUGUAUUAUUGCUAAAAAUGUCUACAUUAGUUCAGACUCAAAAAGACCAUAAAGUUCAGAGGAAGACAAAAUUAGCAAGAGAACAAAAAAACAAGGUGGCUCACCACAGAAACCCCGGAAAACUGAGUGCGUAAAUCUAUUGAUUUUUAAUGGUUAGGAAUUUUGGGAGAGUAGAAACCUGGAAGAGCACUCUCAACCGUCCAGGAAGACAAUAACGACAACCAGUAUGAUGGAUGUGAGAGUUAUUUUGACAUUUCAUUGUACAGUGCUUCUCUUUCUGUAGUGUUGUGUGUUUUCAAGUGCUUGAUGAAAAUUGAUGUUCCAAGUAGUUCAUGUAUUACUGAGGAGUUCAUGUACUGCCUAGUAAGUAAACCUGUUCAACGAUGUAAGCCACGCAAGUUCGAAAGGAUUCACAUCAGUACAAACUCGAGGGGCAUGUAUUACCGUCCAGAGUACAAACUUCAGUUUACCAAGAAGAAGUUAAUGUAUUACCAUUUAGAGUUCAUGUAUCACUAUCCAGAAAAUAUAACUAUUGGUAUAGAAAAUGUUCAAUAUUUGUUCGAAAGCUACCUGCAAAAGAGAAGCCCUUCUUACAUCCAUUUAGAGGUCAAACCACGUGCACCGUCCUCAGUCCAACCCCAUGGCGUCAGGAUGAUCGAGCUCGUCGCAAGUAGCAGUCCAUGGCUGCCAUCUUCCACUUUCCUCUGCCUAGGUCCUUUCCUAUGGAGGUGCAAGGUUUCUACUCUUCUCCCUCCCAUGCUCUCUCUCACUGUCUGUGUUCAUGUGUACUGCUGCUUCAAUUUCUUUGUGAUGCAAAUGUUGUUGAUGAACAUUUUGUUUAAUAAAAAGCUACCAAAAAAAAUCAGUUUAUCUCGUUGUGAUUUUUUUUUGAAUUUUGCUCUGGUCUAGCAGUUCGACAUGUAUUCUACUUCAGUUUAGUACAUCGGAGUAUCAUGUACGUCAGUUCAGUUCAGUACGAAAACAUUAGAGAUUCGACAGACAUAAUCAUGUCGCACAAGUUCAAGUAUAGGUUGCAGGAAAAACAAGAUGCACAAGUUCAUCUUUUGUAUGCUUUUCAGUACAUCUACUUCCCAAUCGUGAGUCUGAUUUCCUUUGUGUUUCCAUCUUCUUCAUAUAGCACAAACAAUUCCUUGUGGUUAUGCUUGAGAAUGAGCACCAUACUGUCACUUGGUUAAUCAAUUUUGUAGAAAGUUCUCGGGGAUUUCUUUAUGUAGAGUUGUUGUUAACUUCAUAAUUAUACAGAUCAUGCAUUCUAUCCAAUGAGCCAUCAAUUAAAGCAAUUUCCAAAUAUAGAGAGGGAAAUAUACAAGAUUGCCAACUAAUAUAUACUCCCUCUGUAAACUAAUAGAUUCCCAACUAUAAUAAUUAUAUUUCUUUACGGAGAGAGUAUUAAUGCUCUGCUUAGCACAUUGCUUGUAGUUGUAUCAGUUACCUUUCUUUUGGAGUUAGGUAAUUAAUAAAUAAUCAAGAGGGAUGGUGCACCCUCACGACCGCUUGCCACCCCCACAGCUGCUACAAAUUCUUGUGUGGGUCGCCGUUCCCUACUCCGGCGUGUGUCACCAGCGUCAUGACCUCCCCCAGCCAGCCCCCACGGCUUGCCUCGAUGGUGCCCCCAAGCCUGUCUAGAACCACCAUGAUGAAUAGAAAUCCAUCCAACUAUUCACUUAUGGUCUCAUGAUCAUUUUCUUGAAAAAGUGUGACUUUUCUGCUGUACUCUCCUUGUUAUUUACUUGUCAAAAUUUAGUUUGAAUCCACUACAAUUUCCAUGAGUGGAUUUUUCUUCAAAACGGAAUUUCCAUGAGUGGAUUUAAAAAUCAACAAAUGUAAAGUUUUAAAAUGCAUACAACAACUACAAAAUAUCAAUUUAGUUCAGUCCAGUUUGUAAUGCUGCUCCACCUUCCGGUCAUUGACGAGCCCCUGGGCAGGCGCUUCCUCCUUCUCUCAGGUCUGCCUCCCUCUAACACUCUCAGUUCAAAUUUGCUAAUAUCUACAGUACUAGUUGGGGAACUUUGGUAGUUCAUUUUCCUAAUAUCUGCACGCUGCCCCUUCCUGCAGGACCCGACCCAACCACUGCCGCCAUGGCACGGCGCCUCCACCUCCCGGCGAAGGACCACCACCUCCCCGACGACAUGCCCAACCCCGACGAGGCCUGCCGGCCCUGGAGUUCCUCCCGCAACGCCUCGACCUCCUGUUCAUCCAUGGAUUCUUGCCAUCCACCACGCCAUCAGGAACACGAUUGGGCCGGGGGAGAAGGCAGAACCUCUGGGUGCAUGAUGGAAAUUUUUUGAAGUUCUUGUUUAGAUGUUCAGGAUAGCCUUCUCUCAUUUCAUUUAUGUUCAGGAUAGCAGGUGCAUGAUGGAAAAUUGUGUAUCAUGUACUCCCUAUGUCAACUUUUAUAAGAGCGUUUAGAAAGUGCAGUUCAAAUUUCGUAAGGCUA